ensembl:lncRNA
AUUCAAUCUCUCUUCCUCCUCGUCAUGCAGGUGCGGACAUCUCGGAAUUAAUAAUGUGGCUUUUUAGUAAUGUGAUGGGAGGCCUGAAAACCACAGCCAAAUAGGAAGCAUGUCUGGAUCUGGAAAAUGAAUGUCUCCCUUAACAUGGAUAAGACAAAGCAGCUGUUCGUGGACCACAGGAAGGGAGGGAGCAAGCAUGCCUGUUCACAGCGAUGGACUUCAAGUUCCUUGGGUCCACAUCACCAAAACGCCGACUUGAUGUUGAUUUGGAAUGGUGGUGGACAUUUUGUUGUUACACACACAUCGUUCACGGAGUCGGCUUUCAUCAUCCUUGAAGGGCUUCCCCACCUACAAGUCAGAAUACAAGCUGUGUCCAAGGGACUGGAAGGCGGCGGUAAAGCGGGAUUCGAGCCGGGGCUCUGGUGCAACUUUACCAGGUCUUUGUCCUUUCCAGCAUAUGCUCACUUUGGAAACACUCUGCUUUCCAAAUCCAAGUCUUUUAUGUUAACAUAGUGAAUCCUCCUCUCCAGACCUGGAAUCUCUAUUUCAUCCACUGCAAAUCAUUUCUAUUCUACUAUUUUUAACUGGAAAUGUAUAACACAUGGUGCCUGGGCAUCCACAGCUACUGGCUGAUCUGGUCAUUGAGGUGGAAAGAAAGUUCCCAAAUUCUACAAUGACUACCAAGGGGAGUUAUCACCACAAACAGGAUCUUUCCCAGAACAAGCAACUGGUGGCAGCUCACAAAUUUGGGCACUUGGGAUUGGUCGAAUCUAACUUCACCAAUGAAAUUGAGGGGAUUUGGUCACAUUACCUUUACAGCACAAUAUCAAUGGACCACUUUGAGUGACGAAAUUAACGUCUGGGUCUCCAUCAGCUACUUCACAGAUGGCAAGAUCAGGAUGCAGUUGAAUAAUAAAACAAUCACAAGUCAGUCAUUGUAAUCUUAAAGGCCCCCACAGUGACCGGUCUGUCACAGAGCAGUACACAUUAAAUUGUUAAAAC